rnacentral:misc_RNA from 1 species
GGCAGAAUAUCCUUAUGGAGUUAGAACUUUCGGAGGCGGUUAUCCUAUCGGAGCAUACCCUGGAGUUGGUUAUGGUAUCACUUCUUUGGUGCCUAGGGGUCCUUGGAAUAACCCAACAAUGACUGGUUUUAGGGGAGGUCCAUUGUCUUAUGGCAAUACAGGAGGUUUUUAUCCCGCCUACAUUAAUAGUGGUGUCGGAGUAAUGAACAUGGCUACUAAUGGAUAUGGAGGAAUUUUGGGUGCUGGGAUAAAUGAGAAACUCGGUCAAGUUAGUGUUAGAGAUGCUCGUGUCUGAUUAGGUGCCGAAUACAAUUUAGAUGGGAACUGUAGAUAUCAAUUCUUUUAUUCUGCUGGAAGCUUCAAUGCUGCUGCUACCAAACAGAGUGAAGAGGUAAUGCAGUGUGACCUAACCCUUACUAUGCUGGC